GCUUMACUCCCAAACCCAAUGUGAACGUUACCAAACUGUUGCCUCGGCGGGGUCACGCCCCGGGUGCSUCGCAGCCCCGGAACCAGGCGCCCGCCGGAGGAACCAACCAAACUCUUUCUGUAGUCCCCUCGCGGACGUAUUUCUUUACAGCUCUGAGCAAAAAUUCAAAAUGAAUCAAAACUUUCAACAACGGAUCUCUUGGUUCUGGCAUCGAUGAAGAACGCAGCGAAAUGCGAUAAGUAAUGUGAAUUGCAGAAUUCAGUGAAUCAUCGAAUCUUUGAACGCACAUUGCGCCCGCCAGUAUUCUGGCGGGCAUGCCUGUCCGAGCGUCAUUUCAACCCUCGAACCCCUCCGGGGGAUCGGCGUUGGGGAUCGGGACCCCUCACACGGGUGCCGGCCCCUAAAUACAGUGGCGGUCUCGCCGCAGCCUCUCCUGCGCAGUAGUUUGCACAACUCGCACCGGGAGCGCGGCGCGUCCACGUCCGWAAAACACCCAACUUUCWGAAAUGUUGACCUCGGAUCAGGUARGAAUACCCGCUGAWCUUAAGCWUAUYAAUAMGCGGAGGAAAU
rnacentral:rRNA from 1 species